UACGGAGGAUUCGAGCGUUAUCCGGAAUUAUUGGGUUUAAAGGGUGCGCAGGCGGACCGUUAAGUCAGCGGUGAAAAUCUGGUGCUUAACAUCAGGAGUGCCGUUGAUACUGGCGGACUAGAGUAUGAUUGACGUAAGUGGAAUGUAGCAUGUAGCGGUGAAAUGCAUAGAGAUGCUACAGAACACCGAUAGCGAAGGCAGCUUACGAAGUCACAACUGACGCUCAGGCACGAAAGCGUGGGGAG
rnacentral:rRNA from 1 species